ACAAUUUAUUAUUUAUUACUUUCUUGAAGCUGAUGCUUCGUCCUCAUUGUAAUAAUUGGGUUAAUUUUGGUAUUUUACUUGGUGUUUGAUUGUUGACAUAAUACUGCUGCUGUGGUGUAGGGCUCCGUGGAUUUUGUUUUUUGCUUCUUACCAUUAACUUAGAAGUAAUUUGCAGUCAAAUGGCAGUGCAACAUCUGCGGGUCGUCUUUGUGAUUGUGUUAGUAUCUAAUUCUUAAAUAGUUGACCUAAUAGUUUACUGUAGUGUAGGACUCCGAGUACUUUGUUGUUUGCUGCUUACCAUUAACUUAGAACGAAUUUGCAGUCAAAUAGCAGUGCAAUAUCUGGGGAUUGUCUCUGUGAUUGUGUCAGUAUCUAAUUCUCAAAUAGUUGACUUAAUAGUCUACUGUAGUGUAGGACUCCCUGGACUUUGUUGUUUGCUGCUUACCAUUAACCUAGAACGAAUUUGCAGUCAAAUGGCAGUGCAAUAUCUGGGGAUCGUCUCUGUGAUUGUGUCAGCAUCUAAUUCUUAAAUAGUUGACUUAAUAGUCUACUGUGCUGUAGGACUCUCCGGACUUUGUUGUUUUCUGCUUAACCUAGAACGAAUUUGCAGUCAAAUGGCAGGGCAAUAUCUGGGAAUCAUCUAUGUGAUUGUGUGAGCAUUUAAUUCUUAAAUCGUUGACUUAAUUGUCUACUGUGUUGUAGGACUCCCUGGACUUUGUUGUUUGCUGCUUACCAUUAACCUAGAACGAAUAUGCAGUCAAAUGGUAGUGCAAAAUCUGGAGAUCCUCUCUAUGAUUGUGUCAGCAUCUAAUUCUUAAAUAGUUGACUUACUAGUCUACUGUAGCCUAGGACUACGAGGACCUUGUUGUUUGCUGCUUACCAUUAAUCUAGAACGAAUUUGCAGUCAAACGACAGUGCAAUAUCUGGGGAUCGUCUCUGUGAUUUUGUCAGCAUCUAAUUCUUAAAUAAGCGCCGUUCGGCGUUGUGAUCGGAUUACGGUAUUAAAUAACUGAUGGAUAGUAGAUGGAAACCUACGGACGUGGAAGGUUUUUUGUCUUGUAGCUGUUGGCGCCCCUUGUUUGUUGCGGUCUGGGAAUGCAGUACUCGGGAGUCAGUGAGUUGUGUCCGGUGUCAGGAGAUUAUGCCUUGUCCCAUACGGUUCAGCAGGGUUCAUGUAACAGGUAAGUGAUAAACGUUACGUUUUUGGGGUCUAGUAGAAUUAGAUGUAGGGGUCGUCUCGUCAGGUUAGGUCAGGUCAGGUAACGUCAGGGUAUUUUUGGUCUGGUCAGACCAAGUGGAAUCAGUUCAGGUCGGGUUGGAUUAGGUCAAGUCUUAUUGGGUCUGGUCGGAUUAAUUCGUGUUGCAUCGGAUUAGGUCAGGUCAGGUCGGGCCAGGUCAGAUCAGGUCCGGUCUAGUCGGGUCAUUUAAGGUCGACAUAGGUCAGGUCACGUCGGAUUAGGUAAGGUCGGGUCAGAUCAGGUUGGUUAAUUCCGUUCAGAUCGGGUCGGGUCAGGUCGCAUUGGGUCGGGUGAGAUCGGGUUACUCGUGCUACGUCGGGUUAGGCCAGGUCAGUUUGGGUUCGGUCAGGUUCUGUUCGGUCAGGAUAGGUAAAGUCUGGUAACUUUAAGUCGGGUCAGGUUAGGUCGUGUCAGUUUAGGUCAUGUAGGGUAAGGUCAGGUCGGGUCACUGUCGGGAGCGGUGAGGUUAAGUCGGGUCGGGUCGUUAGGACAGAUCGCGUUAGGUUAGGCCUGGCCUAUACAGGCGGGUCAGGUCAUAUAGGGACAGUUUAGGUCAGGUCGGGGCAGGUGAGGACGUAUUGGGACGGGUCAGGUCAGGUUAAUUCGUGUUGCGUUGUCAGGUCAAAUCGGGACACAAGGUCGUGUCAUUUCAGGCCAAGUCGACUUCGGCCAGUUCGCGUCAUAUCAAGUAGGGUCACUAGGUCGUACUAUUUCAGGCUCGGUCAGGUCAUGUCAAGUCAGGUCAGGUCAGGGCCGGUAAGGCUGCUUUGGGUCGAGUCAGGUUAGGUCAGGUCAAGUCGGGUCGGUUCAGGUCAGGCCGUGUUGGCUAGCCUCAGGUCUAUUAUUUCUGGUCCGGUCGAAUAGGUUACUGUUAGGUCGGGUCAAGUCAUUUGGGGUCAGUUCAGAUCAGAUCGGGAUGGAUCGAUUCCGAUUGCAUGGCGACGGGUUAGGUAA
rnacentral:lncRNA from 1 species